rnacentral:lncRNA from 1 species
AUACAAGUAUUCAUGUGAUGAGAGGCACUGAAUCACUGAAAAAAAGUGACCUAGAAGCAACAUCAGUAUUCAGAGAGUUUAGGUUCAAUAUCCUGAAUCUCCAAUCCUUUAAGAAAAGAAAGGAAGCGGGGGAAAGCUGAAAAAAUGAAAGUCAAAAGAAGAGAAGGAAAGAGAAGGAAUAGAAAGCAAGUCAAGGGAAAGAAAGAGAAAUAUCUAAACUUCACUUAAAGGUAAAGCUCCCCACCCAGCUUGGACCUGCU